UACGUAGGGACCAAGCGUUGUUCGGAUUUACUGGGCGUAAAGGGCGCGUAGGCGGCAAUUCAAGUCAUCUGUGAAAUCUCCGGGCUUAACCCGGAACGGUCAGAUGAUACUGCUUUGCUAGAGUGCGGAAGGGGCAAUCGGAAUUCUCGGUGUAGCGGUGAAAUGCGUAGAUAUCGAGAGGAACACCUGAGGUGAAGACGGGUUGCUGGGCCGACACUGACGCUAAGGCGCGAAAGCGUGGGGAGCGAACAGG
rnacentral:rRNA from 1 species